GCUCUAGUAGUAUAGCCCAUUACCCUGGUCUUGUAAACCAAAAACGAAGACUCAUAAACCUUCCUAGAGCA
rnacentral:tRNA from 1 species